GCCAUUUUCAUCCUUCACCAAAAAAAAAUCAAGAUUUUUCAUUUUCUUUCCCUUGUUUUCUUUUCCUUUCUUUUCUUUUCUUACUUCUUCCUUCCCCUAACUUCUUGGGCACCAAAACCACAGCUUCUAACCUCAUUUUUUAGCACAUCUAAACCCUAGGAGAGAGAAAGAAAAAUCUCUCUUUCUUUUCUUCCUUUUCUAUUUUUACUCCACUUUCAUCAAUACUUGAAUUUCGGCUACAAAUCUUCAUUUCAAAGCCAAUAGGUUUUGUUGAUCUUCAUGCCUUCAAGCACCAAGGUUUUAAUGGUAUUUUGGGACUACCUGGAUUAAGAUCUUGUGGGUGCUAGUUUCGUUAGGCGACAUU